UUUCAUACGUGUUAGACUCCCUCUCUUCUCAUUCUUCUUAUCUCUUUCUUUUCUCUCUCUCUCUCAAUACCGUAUGAAGGGAAGGUUGAUGGAGAAGUAGUGGAUUGGUGUUUGACCUAAGAAGAACUUCAGCAGCAGGGAGAAAACUCGGUGGAGAGCGAAUCCUGAGGUGAGAUUGUUAUAUCUCUGUGAUAAGAAGUAGGUUAAUUACUCUAUAAAGAGUUGAGCUGCAGGUUUUUAGCUUCUAGAGUUCAUGUUGCCAUGAAAAUGAACCUGGAAAAGCUAUAUGUUGAUAGUAGAUUUGAAGAAGUGAAGCUCCAGCUGGGGUAAAUGCUUGCGGCAGCUGGGGGUCAAGGAUUGGAGAGCUAACUUGAAAUUGAUCGCAUAGAAUCCUAAUUAAGGAUAAAACCGACGUGUUGGGAUGCUCGGAUCGGUGUUCCGAUGAGCCUACGGCAAGCUAGUGAGGAAAAACCUCAUUUUAGCUUCGUUUGUCGCGAGCGAGUAUUGUGAUCGUUCAUAAAUCGCGGGAAGUGGCUUUCUCGCAUCUCGGCAUCAUUUAAAGAUGCCUGAGUAAACCUACUUGGUGAGUCGGCGAGGUCGGCAGUCGAACCCACUAGGAACUUUCAGUCGUUCUCACCCCACUAACCAAUGCAGGUUCUAGCUCGUGCGGGGUGGUGGUGGAUCGUGACAGGGACAGCGCGCUAUAGAUAGCGACAUCCAUUGAGUAUAGUUAUACCUUGUUUGUAGUUGAUGAAAACAAAUGUAAAUUAUUUAUUUGAGAGAUGGCAAUGUAAAUGUUAAAAAAUGUAUGAAACAAAUGGUAAGCUUUGUAUUUGAUUUAAA